GGGCGUUGGGCGGGAUGUUUCCGGCAUCCACGGGCAACCACUGGCCGCCGCCGGCGCACAGCACCUCGUAUUCGGCGUGGCCGUGCUCACCACCUCCCCAGGCUACGUAGGUCACUCCGUGGGAGGGAUGCAGCUUGCCGGGAAUGAGGUCGCCCUCAUGGCGGGCACGGGCGAUGUACAGCUGCUCGCUGCUGUCGAAUCCUCCCUCGAGGGCGUUGGGUGGCACCUCACCGUUGGCGGCGGGCACCCAGCAUCCUGGUCCGCUUCCUGUGGGCGCGGCGAAGCCCAUGACGGGAGCCGAUGGAGCGGGCUCUGCAAGGAAAUAGUGGCAUUUGUUAGAAAUUCAUGAAAUCAUUAGCAAAUCUUAUACAUAUAUGUAUAUAUAAUAGGCAAAUACAUAUUUAUAGCAAGGAUAUAGUCUUGGAGAGCAAUUAAGUGUUAUUGAUCAGUACUCAAUAGUACCAACUCUACGAGUAGCGGGUAUAGUAAUACUCGAUAUUCAAACUGAAGCAGCUGACUAGACAAUAGAUGCCAUUGAGCAGCUGUAGAACAAUAGCUAACUUAGAUCAUUACGAUGGGUAAACUAAUCAGAGAGGGUAAACACCUGUGCUUUCCGUUUGAUAGAAAAGGCGUGGAACAGAGUGUAAACUCACCAUCAAUCAGCCAGGUGCCGCUGGCACCCCAUCCCGUGCAGAUGCCGACGAAGUUGACCGGGAACAGGCUACCAGCAUCGUAGGAAAGGAAGGCGGCGGCGUCUCCUUCGCGGCCAACGGUGAUGACAUUGUCGUACCAGCGCACCCAGAAGCCACGGAACUCUCCGGCAUCUAGGAUGCCCGGAGUGGGCACCUCAGCGACUUCGGGCUUCUGGCGGUCCUUGCGGAUCACCGACUUGGUGUUCUCCCAUCCUCCCAGAAAGAUCUCGAAAAUGGGACCGUUCUCCUCGGGCGCGGGUGUGAGUGCCAAAUGAGCAUCCUUGGGGGAACGCACCUUGAAGGUAAAAACUCCACCGCUGGCGGGGAAGAAUUGGUACUCCAACUUAUCGGGGGUGUUGACUUCUGCAAAUGAGAUGGCAUAUUAGUACAAAUUCUCAGAGGCAACUGUACACUCGGCUACGUUUUUCUGAGCCAACUGUACCCACUACUACUUU
ensembl:ncRNA asRNA:CR44704 antisense RNA:CR44704